AUCAUGGGAGCGGCCCGGGCUACACGUUAAAAACACUAAGGGGAGCGCGCGAAGCUCAACUUGGCGCUCGACGGGGGCCGUUAGCCGCCCCAGAGCGCGCGGAGCCGCAGAGGCGUAGCUGGACUACAACGCAGUGCAUCUCGGGAGGCCAACUCGACUGGACCGGAGAUGGGAUCUCGCAUGUUGCCACUCGAAUUCCUGGGCUCAAGUGAUCCUCCUGCCCCACCCUCCCAAGUAGCCGGGUGCGGCCAUCAUGCCCAGUGAAUGGUUUAUUUUUGUCCACACUGUUCCUCUGAAGAAGGCAUGGCUCGGUGGAAGCCCUGCAUGAGGUUCUACAGCUGCCUGCUGCCCUGCGCGCCUGCCCGCCCCUCCGCAAGGCCUUGGCGGUAGAUGCUGCCUUCCGAGAGGGCAAUGCUGCCCGCCUGUUCCGUCUGCUCCAGACCCUGCCCUACCUGCCAAGUUGCGCUGUGCAGUGCCAUGUGGGCCAUGCCCGCCGGGAAGCCCUGGCCCGCUUCGCUCGUGCCUUUAGCACCCCCAAGGGCCAGACCUUGCCUCUGGGCUUCAUGGUCAACCUCCUGGCCCUGGAUGGACUCAGGGAAGCACGGGACCUGUGCCAGGCCCACGGGCUGCCCUUGGACGGAGAGGAGAGAGUUGUGUUCCUGAGGGGUCGCUACGUGGAGGAAGGGCUACCGCCUGCCAGUACGUGCAAGGUGUUAGUGGAGAGCAAACUUCGAGGACGUACCCUGGAGGAGGUG
rnacentral:sRNA from 1 species